AAGGUUGGAGGCCCCUGGAGUAGAGUGUUGGAGGCGGCAUUUCUGUCUAUGGAGCGUCAUUUGCUUUUCUGGGAUUCCCCAAAGGAAAGCGGGGCAGAGACCCAAGAGAGAGCAGGAAUAAGUUAAAACUAGGGAAAAAUUCUUUAGGCAGAGCUGCAAUCCUAAACCUUUCCCUUGAAGAGAAUUGAUAUCGCUUUAAUAAGAAGCACGGCGGCUCACGUGCUUAGGACCGACGGGGUUGACAAGCAAGGCAGCCAGCCAACCCGCCCGCGAUCGAGAGCUCCGGAGUGUUGCCUUGGGUCGGGGUGAGAGCUCCGAUGGUUCUCUCGAAGCUCUUUUGGGGUUUAGCAAUUCGAAAAUGUUGCCCCAGAGAUACCUUUAUUUCCCUCAAGAGGCAACUGGAGUUUCUUAGUUUUGUCUUUUGAAGACAUUUCGCUUCUCAUCCAAGAAGCUUCAUGUCUUCAAGGAAAAACCAGAAAGCCCAGUUGCCUCUUGAUGGGGAAAAAAGGCACCUUUGGGACAACCAUUACUUGGACGACUGAAAAUCUCCACAGACAUUCGAGCGAGUAGAUAGGUACCGCUUCGGUGGACACAGCAGUUCGGCGGUUCGAAUCCCUAGUACAGGUCUCCUGCGGGAGCCGGGGGUUGGACUAGAUGAUCUCCAGGGUCCCUUCCAACUCUGUUACUAUUAACAUUAAUGGAGACAUGAAAGGAGCUCUCUUAACUCGGCUUCAUCCGGGCAACGGCUGAUCCUUUCAACCUGGAAAAGCUUUGGUGCUUCAGACAGGAUUGCCAUGCCAUCGCAUUUGAAUGCCUUUGAAGCUAUUUGGGCCUUAGAUUCUUACAAAUAAAGAUAUUCUGACAGGGACACUUGAGAGUUGUCUACAGAUCUACAAAGGUCAUAAAUGCAAGGAUUGAUCACUAAGUUACUUUCUUAUCAUCAUAACUGUGAAGGUCGCUAAAACAGUCAGUUGCUAAAUAAGGACUAUCUGAAUCUUUUCCUUUAAGUUAGGGUUCUGUGA